GAAUUGACGGGGACCCGCACAAGCGGUGGAGCAUGUGGUUUAAUUCGAAGCAACGCGAAGAACCUUACCAGGUCUUGACAUCCCUCUGACGGGUCCGUAAUGGGGCCUUCCCUUCGGGGCAGAGGAGACAGGUGGUGCAUGGUUGUCGUCAGCUCGUGUCGUGAGAUGUUGGGUUAAGUCCCGCAACGAGCGCAACCCUUAUUCUUAGUAGCCAGCACGUAAAGGUGGGCACUCUAGGGAGACUGCCAGGGAUAACCUGGAGGAAGGCGGGGAUGACGUCAAAUCAUCAUGCCCCUUAUGAUCUGGGCUACACACGUGCUACAACGGCGGCAACAAAGAGAAGCGACCCUGCGAGGGUGAGCAAAUCUCAAAAAAGCCGUCCCAGUUCGGAUUGUAGUCUGCAACUCGACUACAUGAAGCCGGAAUCGCUAGUAAUCGCGAAUCAGCAUGUCGCGGUGAAUACGUUCCCGGGUCUUGUACACACCG
rnacentral:rRNA from 1 species